rnacentral:rRNA from 1 species
GCACGGGUGAGUAACGCGUAGGCAACCUACCUCGGACCGGGAUAACAGAGCGAAAGUUCUGCUAAUACCGGAUACGACCAAGAUGCGGGAGCAUUUUGGUGAAAGUCGGCCUCUCUAUAGAAGCUGAUGUUCGAGGAUGGGCCUGCGUCCUAUCAGCUAGUUGGUAGGGUAACGGCCUACCAAGGCGACGACGGGUAGCUGGUCUGAGAGGAUGAUCAGCCACACUGGCACUGAAACACGGGCCAGACUCCUACGGGAGGCAGCAGUGAGGAAUUUUGCGCAAUGGGAGCAAUCCUGACGCAGCAACGCCGCGUGGGUGAAGAAGGCCUUCGGGUCGUAAAGCCCUGUCAGGUGGGAAGAAAUGUCUUGAGGCGAAUAGCCUUUGGAUUUGACGGUACCACCAGAGGAAGCACCGGCUAACUCCGUGCCAGCAGCCGCGGUAA